AUUGAACGCUGGCGGCAUGCCUUACACAUGCAAGUCGAACGGCAGCACGGGAGCAAUCCUGGUGGCGAGUGGCGAACGGGUGAGUAAUAUAUCGGAACGUGCCCAGUCGUGGGGGAUAACGCAGCGAAAGCUGUGCUAAUACCGCAUACGAUCUACGGAUGAAAGCGGGGGAUCGCAAGACCUCGCGCGAUUGGAACGGCCGAUAUCAGAUUAGCUAGUUGGUGGGGUAAAGGCCCACCAAGGCGACGAUCUGUAGCUGGUCUGAGAGGACGACCAGCCACACUGGAACUGAGACACGGUCCAGACUCCUACGGGAGGCAGCAGCGGGGAAUUUUGGACAAUGGGCGCAAGCCUGAUCCAGCAAUGCCGCGUGCAGGAUGAAGGCCUUCGGGUUGUAAACUGCUUUUGUACGGAACGAAACGGCCCUUCCUAAUACAGGGGGCUAAUGACGGUACCGUAAGAAUAAGCACCGGCUAACUACGUGCCAGCAGCCGCCGUAACAC
rnacentral:rRNA from 1 species